rnacentral:rRNA from 1 species
UACGUAGGGUGCAAGCGUUAAUCGGAGUUACUGGGCGUAAAGCGUGCGCAGGCGGCUUCGCAAGUCAGGCGUGAAAUCCCCGGGCUUAACCUGGGAAUGGCGUCUGAAACUACGGAGCUGGAGUGUGGCAGAGGGAGGUAGAAUUCCACGUGUAGCGGUGAAAUGCGUAGAUAUGUGGAGGAAUACCGAUGGCGAAGGCAGCCUCCUGGGCCAGCACUGACGCUCAUGCACGAAAGCGUGGGGAGCAAACAGG